AAUCUUCCACAAUUGGCGAAAGCCUGAUGGAGCCACUCCGCGUGAGUGAAGAAGGUUUUCGGAUCGUAAAACCCUGUUUUAAGGGAAGAACAAGUACAGUAGUAACUGUCUGUACCUUGACGGUACCUUAUUAGAAAGCCACGGCUAACUACGUGCCAGCAGCCGCGGUAAUACGUAGGUGGCAAGCGUGGUCCGGAAUUAUUGGGCGUAAAGAGGGCGCAGGCGGUCCUUGAAGACUGAUGAGAAAGCCCACGGCUCAAAAGUGGAGGGUCAUUGGAAACUGGGGGACUUGAGUGCAGAAGAGGAGAGUGGAAUUCCAAGUGUAGCGGUGAAAUGCGUAGAGAUUUGGAGGAACACCAGUGGCGAAGGCGACUUUCUGGUCUGUAACUGACGCUGAGGCGCGAAAGCGUGGGGAGCAAACAGG
rnacentral:rRNA from 1 species